rnacentral:rRNA from 1 species
CCUACGGGGGGCAGCAGUGGGGAAUAUUGCACAAUGGGGGAAACCCUGAUGCAGCGACGCCGCGUGAGUGAAGAAGUAUUUCGGUAUGUAAAGCUCUAUCAGCAGGGAAGAAAUAAAGUCCUUCGGACUUUGGACGGUACCUGACUAAGAAGCCCCGGCUAACUACGUGCCAGCAGCCGCGGUAAUACGUAGGGGGCAAGCGUUAUCCGGAUUUACUGGGUGUAAAGGGAGCGUAGACGGCAGCGCAAGUCUGGAGUGAAAUCCCAUGGCUUAACCAUGGAACUGCUUUGGAAACUGGUUUUCUUGAGUGAGUGAGAAGUAUGCGGAAUGCGUGGUGUAGCGGUGAAAUGCAUAGAUAUCACGCAGAACUCCGAUUGCGAAGGCAGCAUACCGGCGCUCAACUGACGCUCAUGCACGAAAGUGUGGGUAUCGAACAGGAUUAGAUACCCUUGUAGUC